rnacentral:rRNA from 1 species
GCUAACUCCGUGCCAGCAGCCGCGGUAAUACGGAGGAUCCAAGCGUUAUCCGGAUUUAUUGGGUUUAAAGGGUGCGUAGGCGGCCUAUUAAGUCAGGGGUGAAAGACGGUAGCUCAACUAUCGCAGUGCCCUUGAUACUGAUGGGCUUGAAUGAACUAGAGGUAGGCGGAAUGUGACAAGUAGCGGUGAAAUGUUUAGAUAUGUCACAGAACACCGAUUGCGAAGGCAGCUUACUAUGGUUUUAUUGACGCUGAGGCACGAAAGCGUGGGGAUCAAACAGGAUUAGAUACCCUUGUAGUC